AUGUCCAUGGAGGCGGCUCUCGUGACUGUGGCGACGGGGGUCCUCAAACCUGUCCUGGAGAAGCUGGCCACCUUGCUUGGCAAUGAGUACAAGCGAUUCAAGGGUGUGCGCAAAGAGAUCAAGUCUCUCAGUCAUGAGCUCGCCGCCAUGGAGGCUUUUCUCUUCAAGAUGUCCGAUGUGGAGGAUCCCGAUGUGCAGGAUAAAGUCUGGAUGAAUGAGGUGCGGGAGCUGUCCUAUGACCUGGAGGAUGCCAUCGACGACUUCAUGGAAAGCAUCGGUGACAAAGACGAAAAGCCAGAUGGCUUCAUUGAGAAGAUCAAGAGCUCACUAGGGAAGCUGGGGAAGAUGAAGGCUCGCCGCUGGAUCGGCAAAGAGAUUCAGGAUCUGAAGAAACAAAUCAUUGAGGUGGGCGACAGGAAUGCAAGAUACAAGAGUCAUGAGACCUUCUCCAAGACCGUCAAUGCAACCAUUGACCCUAGAGCUCUUGCUAUAUUUGAGCAUGCAUCAAAGCUUGUUGGAAUCGAUGAACACAAGACUGAGCUGAUCAAAUUGUUGACGGACGACGAUGGUUGUGCGACAACACAACAACAACCAAAGAUAGUCUCCAUCACUGGACCUGGAGGAAUGGGAAAAACAACUCUUGCAAACCAAGUGUAUCAAGAGAUCAAAGGGCAGUUUGAGUGUUGUGCCUUCCUAUCCGUGUCGCGAAGCCCAGACAUGAUGAAUAUCCUUAGGACUAUUCUUAGUGAAGUUAGCGGUCAAGGUUAUUCUAGCACAAAAGCAGGGAGUGUACAAAUACUCAUUAGCAAGAUCAAUGACUUCCUACUAAAUAAAAGAAGAGAAAUAGAUGGAGAGAGUACAAAGAAAAAUAUGUCAGGAUUUUGGCUAGUAAUUUUGAUGAUAUAG
rnacentral:rRNA from 1 species